UACGGAGGGUGCAAGCGUUGUCCGGAUUCAUUGGGGUUAAAGGGUGCGCAGGCGGGCGAUUAAGUCAGGGGUGAAAGACGGUUGCUCAACAAUCGCAGUGCCUUUGAUACUGGUUGUCUUGGGUGACCUUGAGGUAGGCGGAAUGGGUGGUGUAGCGGUGAAAUGCAUAGAUACCACCCAGAACUCCGAUUGCGAAGGCAGCCUACUGGAGGUUCACCGACGCUCAGGCACGAAAGCGUGGGGAUCAAACAGG
rnacentral:rRNA from 1 species